rnacentral:rRNA from 1 species
ACGCUGGCGGCGUGCCUAAUACAUGCAAGUCGAGCGAACCACUUCGGUGGUUAGCGGCGGACGGGUGAGUAACACGUGGGCAACCUGCCUGUAAGACUGGGAUAACUUCGGGAAACCGGAGCUAAUACCGGAUAAUCCUUUUCCUCUCAUGAGGRAAAGCUGAAAGWCGGUUUCGGCUGUCACUUACAGAUGGGCCCGCGGCGCAUUAGCUAGUUGGUGAGGUAACGGCUCACCAAGGCGACGAUGCGUAGCCGACCUGAGAGGGUGAUCGGCCACACUGGGACUGAGACACGGCCCAGACUCCUACGGGAGGCAGCAGUAGGGAAUCUUCCACAAUGGACGAAAGUCUGAUGGAGCAACGCCGCGUGAGCGAUGAAGGCCUUCGGGUCGUAAAGCU